rnacentral:lncRNA from 1 species
AUUUACAAAAAAAAAUUUAAUACGUUUACAGAUUGACCGGUGAUGCCGCACGGGUUGCUCUCAGUUACAGCAGCUGUUUGAAGCAGGGAAAAGCGAGUUAGCUGUCCUUGUCGAUGCCUUGACAAUGUUUUGUCAUCUGUUAGAUCUCUGAGCCCUGACUUUUAUGUCUUCUUUGGAUUUAAAAACAAAUGUUGAAUGUUCUCAAAUAAUAUAAUAUUGCCGCCCUCCGCGGCUCCCAGUGUUUGUUUUUUUCAUUGAAAACGUGGGUGUUGCCGGUGGCAGACCUCUGGUCUAGAUCAUCCUUAUUCACUUUUUUAAAUUGUAGUAGUGUAACCUUAGUUAGUAUUCCUUUUUAUUUUUUUAUUUUAUGUUUGGGAAACGUGACAUUUCAGCUACUGUUUAUUUGUCAUCAACAUUAGUUCCUACCUGUCCUUGUUGACGGGGGACAGGAAAAUGUGACGCGCGUUGGGUAAGAGCGGCGUAAAGAAAAAAGUGUACAUGUGCCGUACUGUCUUGCCGUGUGGUGCAUUAAAGAAGAAAACCACGUAAAGAAAAUUGCCCGUACCAACAGUAAGAAAUCAGCGUUACAGUAGCUUGUCUGCCACAAAUCGCUGCACGCGGGAGGGCGCACCGUUCAGCUUCUUAUUUUCGGUUUUAAACUGCCAUAAUUUGCCAUAAUUUACUUACGUUCAUAACUUCAUACUAUAACGCGACCAGCGGUUCAUGGUCUUGGCGAUCCAUGCACUAAGUAAUACAACGGUGUCAUCUCGUGAUCACAUGAUGAUGAUGAGACGCUGUUUUUCCAAUAAUUAAAAUUAAAAGACUGCUUCCACUCAGACUCGAACCCCGGACAAAAAAAACUUUGUAGCCAUGCGUGUUAACCACUAGGCCACCCAAAACCUGAUCAUUGAUUGUUCUACAAGAGUCUAUAUCACGUAAGCAACUACGAUGUUUUAGGACCAAAAGUGGGAGUCAAUCGCCACCUACAGGCCAGAAGGACGUAGCACACUCCUCCCGCAGUGCAAACCCGGCACUGACGCAGCAGAUUUGAAACCCAAACACGGUGGGGGUAGACACUUUUA